UUACUAGCUUCAGCAGUACAUAUACUAAAAAUUGGAAUGACACAGAGAGGUUUAGCAUGGCCCAUGCAAGGAUGACAUGCAAAUUCAUGAGGUGUUCCAUAUUUUU
rfam:Octopus bimaculoides Scaffold52836_contig_412, whole genome shotgun sequence.